GUCCGGGUGGUGCAGGACGGGGCCGGCGUUCGCGGCGCCGGAUUCCCGCUGGAACGAGCCCACCCUCGGGUC
rnacentral:tRNA from 1 species